rnacentral:lncRNA from 1 species
AACAGUUGUUAAGAGGACCUUUUUAAUCAAUCCUGCAAGAUAGCGCAAGACUAAUAUGUCUACUGAAAUGGCAGCCUGAAUCAGAAUGGUUUCCACUUGGCUAUAUUUGUUAAUUCUCAAGAGUUCCAAUUUAACAUCGUACAGACAAUAUUGUUUGUUGUAUCAUCACAGAAAGAAACAUUGAAAUAACAAAAUAUUUAGAAUUAGAGAUCCUAAUACUUCUUAGAAUUGUGCUGUAAUUUGAGACUUGAGAGCUAUUAAGCCAAUGUUUCUCCCUGUUUUUGCUUUGACACAGACUCGUGGACAUAAAAAAUAAGAAAUUUCAUACAACUGCAUUUUCAGAGGCUGCAUUUUCAGCACGCAGCCAGUCUUGCUAUUGUUUCCUUAUAUGUAGAUUCCUUUAAGCCUGUAAAAAUAUCAAGGUCUGUAACCAUGAGAUUGGACUUGGGAAUUUAUUUUUUUUAAAUGUUUCCUGAUAACUCCAAUCAUAUUGAACAUAGUAAAGCAAUUAUAAGCAAAGCAUGAAACAUUAGAAGAUUUAUAAUCUUUUUAGGUAAAAGAAGAAGAUUUUUUUGAAAGAAGAGUUGAUUGAUACAAGCAGCAAGAAAGAUGAGAUAUCCUCUAAACAUAGAUAUCUUAGCAAAGAUAAGUAGAAUGCCUUAAUACAGGACAGGUGCAACUACCAAGUGAACACACAUCUGAUACCUUCAAAUUAAAUAAUCAAAAAAUAACCCAGAAAGAGAAAAACAAAAUCAUUUCAUUGGACAAACAAAAUUUAAGAAAAAAAUAUAAACAGCAAAAUUUUGAAAUAAUUAAUUACAAUAAGAAAAGAACCUGAAGGGAUGAAACCAAUUUGAGGGCAAUAUCGUCCGAAAGUGAGCUUUCCAUAUACUCCGACUGACUCAUGUUUCUGUAAUUUCUGGAGAGAGAAAAUUAGUGGUGUUGAUGCCGUAUUUCGCCAAGCAAGAUGUCGCCGGAUUUGGUCCUAAUAAACCUCCAUAUACGGUUGAAUGCCUAUGUACUGAUUCUCACACCGGACGAAUUUUCCGGCGGCUCUGACCGUCGGUCACGGUGUACUCUUUAUGCAGGACCAAAUCCGGCGACUACUUGCAAAAAUACGGUAACAACAAUUGGGAAAAUGAAGGAAAACUUAAUCGCAUGCAUCAUGCAAGCUUAAUCAUUCCAAAAUUUUACUUCAAAAUCCCAAAAUUAACACGAAUUUGACUUGCAUUGGCAAGGUAUUGGAGGCUAGGGUUCUUCCUAUUUGACGAAGAGAAGAAAUAAGAUGAAGAGAAUUACCUACAUGCACCUUCUUCUUCUUGGGCGCUUGUUUGGUUAUAGAGGGCAAGGUUACCUUCUAAUUUGGGGUUGCGAUAGAUUAGAGCAUAAUCAGAUAAUGGAGUUAGGGUUUGAGUACUUCGAAAAGGGGAAGGGAACAAAUGAAGUAAAGUUUCCUGAUACCUCCGUGUUUUUUUUAACCGACUGCACAUAGC